rnacentral:rRNA from 1 species
AUUGAACGCUGGCGGCAGGCCUAACACAUGCAAGUCGAGCGGAGCGGCGGACGGGUGAGUAAUGCCUAGGUAUCUGCCUGGUCGUGGGGGAUAACGUCCGGAAACGGGCGCUAAUACCGCAUCCUCUCAGAUGAGCCUAGGUCGGAUUGGCUAGUUGGUGGGGUAAGGGCCUACCCAGGCGACGAUCCGUAGCUGGUCUGAGAGGAUGAUCAGUCACACUGGAACUGAGACACGGUCCAGACUCCUACGGGAGGCAGCAGUGGGGAAUAUUGGACAAUGGGCGAAAGCCUGAUGCAGCCAUGCCGCGUGUGUGAAGAAGGUCUUCGGAUUGUAAAGCACUUUCAGUCGGGAGGCGUUACCGACAGAAUAAGCACCGGCUAACUCCGUGCCAGCAGCCGCGGUAAUAC